UACAGAGGGCGCGAGCGUUGUCCGGAAUCACUGGGCGUAAAGGGCGCGUAGGUGGCGGCAUAAGGCCGCGGUGAAAGUCUGGGGCUCAACCCCAGAUCGGCCGCGGCGACUGUGUCGCUCGAGCACGGUAGAGGCAGAUGGAAUUCCGGGUGUAGCGGUGAAAUGCGUAGAUAUCAAGAGGAACACCUGCGGCGAAGGCGGGUUGCUGGGCCGACACUGACGCUGAGGCGCGAAAGCCAGGGGAGCGAACGGG
rnacentral:rRNA from 1 species